rnacentral:rRNA from 1 species
UACAGAGGUCUCAAGCGUUGUUCGGAUUUAUUGGGCGUAAAGGGUGCGUAGGCGGUUUGGCAAGUCUUGUGUGAAAUCUUCGGGCUCAACCCGAAGCCUGCACAAGAAACUGCCGGGCUUGAGUAUGGGAGAGGUGAGUGGAAUUUCCGGUGUAGCGGUGAAAUGCGUAGAUAUCGGAAGGAACACCUGUGGCGAAAGCGGCUCACUGGACCAUAACUGACGCUGAGGCACGAAAGCUAGGGGAGCAAACAGG